rnacentral:lncRNA from 1 species
AUGCACAGUUACAUCCAUACUAGGAUGGCUGAAUGUUAAUAGCCAUCGAGUAAAAUUUUAGUACUUACCAAUGCAAUACCAUCUGUAUAUUUGUUAGGUUGAUUAGCUUUAAAAACCACAUAUAUCGUCAUCUUGAGUCAUUAAUCAAGUCUGUUAAAUAACAUGCAGGUCUGGCUUUGAACUCAUCAGUCAUCAAUGUGCAUAGAUUUGGUUAGGUCAACAUCAACACAUGUGAUAUUAAGAGCAUUGCCCCAGUUUUGGCCUCUAAUUUAUAGAUUUGGAACAUAAUGCUUGUUAAGAAACAAUUUAUGAACUAUUCUGUUUCAUCAUUGUCAUAUCUUAAUAUCAUGACUCAACGCGAAUAACACAACCCUUUGGCACCACCAGCUUCGAAUCAAUUUCUCGUUUCACUGAGAAUCUGAGGAGACCAAAUAAACAAACUAACAUAAGUGUCCACUGAAAUGCCCGCUACACUGAACUGGUACCUGCCUUAGAGCGGGGCAGGAAAACACAUACCUAAUCAUCAAUAUUAACCAGCUUCUAACACGUUCACCAAGAAAAAUCGGGCGCUUUUAAUUAUUAAAACAGCUGACUCUUGAUUUUGGAAAAGAAAGAGCUAAAGAAGAAACUUAGCGAAAUUUUGGAGAGCUCGGGCAGUCAUCGUUAGAUCAAGAAGCAAUUUCUACUCGAUACGAGACAAUUUACCAAAAAUCUCAAUUCCAACCACUACAGACCAAAGAGAGAAGGGUUUCCCGAGCUCACGAUCGCGUCGGUCGAUCCGUCGACGAACCACGUGGUGAUAUCCCCCUUCUGGAGCUUGAGGACGCUCGACGGAGAAAGCCCGAAGCAGUCGCCCCCUCCCAGCCCACCGCCCGCGGCGGUCGAAACCCUAUCCCUGGUUCCUCCGGCGGCAGCGGCGGCGUCUUCCAUCCGGGCGGCGAUCAGAGAUGUUCUUCGGGUUUUGAGGGAUCGACGCUCUCUAGGGCGAAUGGUUUCGGGAGGCUUCGACGGCUUCGGCCCGGGAGAGCUCCGAGGAUUCGACGCCCUUGCAAAACAACAGUAAAAAGUAACUGAUCAUGUCCGUACGUCAAACUAAGAAGCGCAGUGGUGGAGCGCGUUAUGUCGCUGUCUGAUCACCGUUGGAUUAUGAUAAUUUGUAUGAGGAGCCAUAUCAGCGUCCAAUUGGUGCACCC